rnacentral:rRNA from 1 species
AGGGCACACAGUGAAUGCCUUGGCACCAAGAGCCGACGAAGGACGCAACUAACGGCGAAACGCCACGGGGAGCGGUAAGUGCGCGACGAUCCGUGGGACUCCGAAUGGGGGAACCCACCACGUGGAAGACGUGGUAUCCAGAGAUGGAAGGAAAACGCGGGGAACUGAAAUAUCUAAGUACCCGCAGGAAAAGAAAGUAAGAACGAUUCCGCCAGUAGUGACGAGCGAACGCGGAGGAGCCUGACACCAGAACAGUUACAAAACCACAUUUUAGGCGAGCGGCGUGGGAAAGCCGGCCAGAGAGGGUGAGAGCCCCGUAGCCGAAAGGGUGUGGACUGGGGUGUCGAGAAGUACGGCGGGACACGAGGAAUCCUGUCGGAAGAUGCGAGGACCAUCUCGUAAGGCUAAAUACUCCUUGGUGACCGAUAGUGAACCAGUACCGUGAGGGAAAGGUGAAAAGAACCCCGGGAGGGGAGUGAAAAGACUCUGAAACUGUAUGCUUACAAAAAGUCAGAGGCCGUUAAAGGCUGAUGGCGUGCCUAUUGAAGAAUGAGCCGGCGAGUUAUGAUGUCGUGCAAGGUUAAGUCGAAGAGACGGAGCCGUAGUGAAAGCGAGCCUAAAUCGGGCUUUAGUACGACAGCAUAGACCCGAAACCCGACGAUCUAUCCAUGAUCAGGUUGAAGGUGGGGUAAAACCCACUGGAGGACCGAACCGACGUUCGUUGAAACGCCCGCGGAUGAAUUGUGGAUAGGGGAGAAAUUCCAAUCGAGUUGGGAGAUAGCUGGUUCUCCCCGAAAUAGCUUUAGGGCUAGCGUCUGAUAUAGUUGGUGGAGGUAGAGCACUGAAUGUGAGAUGGCCGUGAUUAACGGUACUGAUCAUAAUCAAACUCCGAAUGCCAUCAAUGUUAGUCAGGCAGUCAGUCUGUGGGAGAUAAGUUCCAUGGACAAAAGGGAAACAGCCCAGACCGUCAAAUAAGGUCCCUAAAUUCAUGCUAAGUGUUAAAGGAUGUGGAGAUGCUCAAACAACUAGGAUGUUCGCUUAGAAGCAGCCAUCAUUUAAAGAGUGCGUAACAGCUCACUAGUCGAGUGCCUCCGCGCCGAAGAUUUACCGGGGCUAAGCAUGAUACCGAAUUUACGGAUUUAAUGUUUCAUUAAGUGGUAGGGGAGCGUUCCAUUUGCGGUGAAGCCAUACCGAGAGGAGUGGUGGAGCGGAUGGAAGUGAGUAUGCCGGUGUAAGUAACGAAUAUGGGUGAGAAUCCCAUACACCGAUUGACUAAGGUUUCCUGGGGAAGGUUCGUCCACCCAGGGUUAGGCGGGACCUAAGGCGAGGCCGAAAGGCGUAGUCGAUGGACAGCAGGUUGAUAUUCCUGCCCCCGUGCAUAUGCGAUGUAGUGACAGAGACGGUUAACUGAUCCGGUUAUUGGAUUCCGGUCCAAGCGAGGUACCUGUGUCAUAGGAAAAUCCGUGACACGCAAGGGGAAGGCGUGAUGGGGAGUGAAUGGGGCAACCCUAGUAACGAAGUCAGUGAUACCAGCUCUCAAGAAAAGCUGCUAGCUUAAGUAUGCGCGGCCUGUACCGAGAACGGACACACGUGGUCAAGAUGAGUAAUCUAAGGUGAGCGAGAUAACUGUUGUUAAGGAACUCUGCAAAAUUGCUUCGUAAGUUCGCAAGAAGAAGCGCUCCAGCGAUGGAGCCGCAGUGAAGAGGCCCAGGUAACUGUUUAACAAAAACACAGCUCUAUGCUAAGUCGCAAGACGAUGUAUAUGGGGUGAUGCCUGCCCAGUGCUGGAAGGUUAAAAGGAGAGGUUAGCCGCAAGGCGAAGCUUUGAUCUGAAGCCCCAGUGAACGGCGGCCGUAACUAUAACGGUCCUAAGGUAGCGAAAUUCCUUGUCAGGUAAGUUCUGACGCGCACGAAUGGUAUAAUAAUCUGGGCGCUGUCUCGACAGCAGACUCGGUGAAAUCUUAAUACCUGUGAAGAUGCAGGUUACCCGCGACUAGACGGAAAGACCCCAUGGAGCUUUACUGUAACUUAAUAUUGAGUUGUUGUAAGUCAUGUACAGGAUAGGUGGGAGGCUUUGAAGCCGGGGCGUCAGCUUCGGUGGAGCCAAUCUUGGGAUACCACUCUUGAUUUACGACAAUUCUAACUUGCGCCCUCACCGGGCGGAGGACAGUGUUAGGCGGGCAGUUUGACUGGGGCGGUCGCCUCCCAAAAUGUAACGGAGGCGCCCCAAGGUAUCCUCAGCACGGUUGGAAAUCGUGCGGCGAGUGCAAAGGCAUAAGGAUGCUUGACUGUGAGACUUACAAGUCGAACAGGGACGAAAGUCGGGCUUAGUGAUCUGGCGGUGCCGAGUGGAAGGGCCGUCACUUAACGGAUAAAAGCUACCCUGGGGAUAACAGGCUGAUCGCGUCCAAGAGUUCACAUCGACGACGCGGUUUGGCACCUCGAUGUCGGCUCAUCACAUCCUGGAGGGGAAGUACCUUCCAAGGGUUGGGCUGUUCGCCCAUUAAAGUGGUACGCGAGCUGGGUUCAAAACGUCGUGAGACAGUUUGGUCCCUAUCUGUCGUGGGCGCAAGAAGUUUGAGAGGACCUGUCCCUAGUACGAGAGGACCGGGAUGGACAUAGCGCUGGUGCACCAGUUGUCACGCCAGUGGCACGGCUGGGUAGCUACCUAUGGAAUGGAUAAACGCUGAAAGCAUAUAAGCGUGAAGCCAACCUCAAGAUGAGACUUCU